GCGGGUCCGGCGACCCGGUGGGGAAGCGCCGGAGCUCCGCCAGGCAGCAGACAAAACUCUCUGUCUGCCGGUAGCAGAGGGGCCACGCUGAGCACUCAGGGCUCCCGGCAGAGGCCCGGAGAGAAGCCCAGAGGGCGGGGCGACCCCCAGCUGCCGUUGCCCGCCCCGGGGGACUAGGGAUUGCCGGAGAUCUCGGAGAGGACCGGGGCGGGGAACUUUCAAAGGCGGGUCCGGCGACCCGGAGGGGAAGCGCCGGAGCUCCGCCAGGCAGCAGACAAAACUCUCUGUCUGCCGGUAGCAGAGGGGCCACGCUGAGCAUUCAGAGCUCCCGGCAGAGGCCGGGAGAGAAGCCCAGAGGGCGGGGCGACCCCCAGCUGCCAUUGCCCACCCGGUGAGGCUAGGGAUUGCCGGAGAUCUCGGAGAGGACUGGGGCUGGAGAGAGUUCCAGAGACCCAGCUUAGUAGCCUAGGGGGAAACCCUACAGGCUCACAGAAGCCUUAGGGAAAGCCUCUGCACAGCACCAGUAGAAGGCACCCAGCCGCCAGCCACAAGGCUGGAAGACCCCAGGGCAAAAGCAGCAUAGCUAGGUGUACUAACCACAGACUGUAGAAGAUGCCAAUAGCUCUCCUGGGACCCAUAGAGGAUAAGUGAGAUUUGGUGGGUGCCGACAGC
rnacentral:lncRNA from 1 species